GAUUUGACGCAUUAACCUAUGGGCUGUCCCUGCGAGUAGGGGGGGGUAGGUAAACAAGAUGGCGACAACCUGAGAAGCAAGAGUAACACGAAGAGUCAGGGGGAAAAAAAAAUAUCACUGAGAUUUUGUCAGACUAAAGUUAAAUAAUUUAUUCACUGGGGACGGACUCACAACAGAGGAUAAACCUUGCAGCGAAAAGGAGGUUCAUUUGGAUCUAGGCACCGGGCAGUAAAAACCGGGGUGACAUGGAGGACACCUGAGGACAGUUCAACACAUUGGACACUGGAGUCGACCUCCAGGAGCCCCACUGAUAGCAGAGAUUGGAGUGAUACUGCUGCAUGCUCAGGCUGUAGAUCUGUGCUUGGAUCCAAUCCAGCUGUAAACACUUAUGUACCCUGAGAAAACUCUGAUAUCCAGCAUGGACCCUUGACAGAAAUGCCGUGCUGCGUGGCCUUGAAUCAAGACUGGUUGCCUCUGCUUAAGACUGUAGGGUAUUAAUUCUGAGGUAAUUGGUGAAGGAGAAGAAAAACGUUGUAGUAUCGCUUUUUUUUUUUUCAGUUUUCUGUUCAACCGCACUUGUUGUAGAUCUAGUUAAAAAUGCACAGUAUAAAGCACUAACUCGGUACUGGACUCCAAGGGUUUUUAGCCCCUUUUCGCCCCUCUUGAGUGAAAAAGUUUACAAAUUGGGCUUGAUCACCCACCUCCUCCCCUUAACUCUCAGGCCUGAUUACUCCCUCUCCAAUGUUCAGUAUUUUGUAACUCAUCCUGCAGAAUUAAAAUACUCACCUCGGUGCUGAAAGGUUACCAGUGGGUUACUUAACAGCAGCAGUCAUAGCUAUUCGCAAACCUUUUCCUUCACUGGAAGUACAAGCUGUCAAUCAUGAGUGCCGGCGAGUUGCCUCACCUGUCUGACUAUCUAAAUGAAAAUGAACUGAUGGAGAUGGAUACUUUUAUUCACCGCAUUGACUCUACAGAGGUGAUCUACCAGCCUCGGAGGAAGAGGGCAAAGCUGAUAGGAAAGUACUUGAUGGGGGAUCUACUCGGGGAAGGAUCUUAUGGCAAGGUGAAAGAAAUGCUGGACUCAGAGACUCUUUGUCGCAGGGCUGUCAAGAUACUGAAGAAGAAGAAGCUUAGGAGGAUUCCUAAUGGAGAAGCCAAUGUGAAAAAGGAGAUUCAGCUGCUAAGAAGACUCCAACACAAGAAUGUGAUUCAGUUGGUGGACGUUCUCUACAAUGAAGAGAAGCAGAAAAUGUAUAUGGUGAUGGAGUAUUGCGUUUGUGGGAUGCAAGAAAUGCUGGAUAGCGUCCCAGAGAAAAGGUUUCCAGUAUUUCAAGCUCACGGGUACUUUUGCCAACUCUUAGAUGGCCUUGAAUAUUUGCACAGCCAGGGAAUAGUUCACAAAGACAUUAAACCAGGGAAUCUGCUGCUGACCACAGACGGCUCGCUUAAAAUCUCCGACCUGGGAGUAGCAGAGGCCCUUCACCCAUUUGCAGAGGAUGACACGUGUCGUACCAGUCAGGGCUCUCCAGCCUUUCAGCCUCCAGAAAUUGCCAAUGGACUGGACACCUUUUCAGGGUUUAAAGUGGACAUUUGGUCUGCUGGAGUAACACUAUACAACAUUACAACAAGUCUGUAUCCAUUUGAGGGGGACAACAUCUAUAAGCUAUUUGAGAACAUUGGAAAAGGAGAGUACACUAUUCCUGAGGAGUGUGGACCUCUCCUGUCGGACCUGCUGCGAGGCAUGCUUGAGUACGAUCCUGUGAAGAGGUUUUCCAUACAAAACAUAAGGCAACACAACUGGGUGCGGAAGAAACACCCUCCAUCUGAGCCUCCUGUACCCAUCCCUGCCAGCGCAGAGAGCAGGGACCCUUGGCGGAGUAUGACGGUGGUGCCCUAUCUAGAAGAUCUGCACGGCUACACAGAGGAGGAUGAUGACGAGCUCUAUGAUGGAGAGGAUGAGAUCAUAUACACUCAGGACUUCACAGUGCCAGGACAAGUGGCCGAAGAAGAUCAGGAUCAGGGGAACGCAGACCACAGUCCAGCUGUAGCCAAGCCAGUUUGUGUGAAUGGGACAGAAGGGGGGUCUCUGAACAGCAAGGCCAAAGCCGAACGCCGAUCCUCAUCCUCGUCCAACCCCUCACGUAAAGGAGUCUCCACAGCCAGCAAAAUCCGCAAGCUCUCCACCUGCAAACAGCAAUGACCCUCCUCCCUCUUUCUGCCUCAGCAGCAACCCAUCUGUAGAAGGUGGAAAAAGAUAAAGAAGCCCUUAUGGAAAGCAGGUGCUGCAGAUCCAGAUAAAAGGGUGAUCUGUCCUCGUCCUCCUGUGUCCAGAGUCCUCACAGUUGUGAGAGAAACCUGCUGACAUUAAGCCACCCCAACACCUUCACCUGCCCCCCUCCCCGAACCUCCUUGGACCACUGGCCUGCAGAGUCGUUUGAAGAUGCGGUAUUAGCGACGAGGAGGAGGAGGACAGCAUGAAAUGUUCUUUCUGCUCCGAGACUGAGGCUGUGAAGAUGGUGUUUAUUUUCUCCAAAAUUUUCGGCUCCUUUUCAACUAAACUCAUCCAGUUCUCUCUUAUCAUUUUCCCCCUCCCAACCCUCCCCCCUCCUCUCCAAUCCUGUCAUCCUCCUCAGAGGGCCAAGUGUUACACCGGACGUUACAGACUCCACCACCCACCUACCCACCCCUCCUCUCCACCUACCCCACCCACCCCUCCUUAACCCACCUUGUUUCUUUGACUACCUUUUGUUUUUACAGAACCCUAAUGGCAGUUUUUAAGACACAUUGUGAUGUGUAAAAAAAUUAAAGAGGAAAAAAAAACCCACACAUGUUAUGAAUAAUUCUAUAUUUAAACCUCUGCUGAGCAUAAUUAUGGUAGUGCUACCACCGACAUAGAAUCUGCAUGCUGUACAGAGCUGGAAGAAAGGGAAA